rnacentral:rRNA from 1 species
AAAAACAUGUCUUAUUGAAAAUAAUUUUAAGUCUAAUCUGCCCAAUGAAAAUUUUAAUGGCUGCAGUAUCAAUAACUGUACAAAGGUAGCAUAAUAAUUAGUUUUUUAAUUGAAAACUAGAAUGAAAGAUUAAAUGAAAUAUAAACUUUAUUAAUAAAAUUAAAAUUAAACUUAAAUUUUAAGUUAAAAUUCUUAAAUAUUAUUAAAAGACGAGAAGACCCUUUAGAAUUUUAUAUAAAUUAAAAUUAAAAUUAUAAAUAUUAAUAAUAUAAAUUUUAAUUAAUAUUUAAUUGGGGUAAUUUUUUAAUUUUAUAAACUUUAAAAUAAUAAAACAUUAAUUAAUGAACUUAUAAACCUAAAAAUUUAGAAUUUUAAAAUAAAUUACCUUAGG